rnacentral:rRNA from 1 species
UGGGGAAUUUUGGACAAUGGGCGAAAGCCUGAUCCAGCAAUGCCGCGUGUGUGAAGAAGGCCUUCGGGUUGUAAAGCACUUUUGUCCGGAAAGAAAUCCUUGGCUCUAAUACAGUCGGGGGAUGACGGUACCGGAAGAAUAAGCACCGGCUAACUACGUGCCAGCAGCCGCGGUAAUACGUAGGGUGCAAGCGUUAAUCGGAAUUACUGGGCGUAAAGCGUGCGCAGGCGGUUUGCUAAGACCGAUGUGAAAUCCCCGGGCUCAACCUGGGAACUGCAUUGGUGACUGGCAGGCUAGAGUAUGGCAGAGGGGGGUAGAAUUCCACGUGUAGCAGUGAAAUGCGUAGAGAUGUGGAGGAAUACCGAUGGCGAAGGCAGCCCCCUGGGCCAAUACUGACGCUCAUGCACGAAAGCGUGGGGAGCAAAACAGGAUUAGAUACCCUGGUAGUCCACGCCCUAAACGAUGUCAAAUAGUUGUUGGGGAUUCAUUUCCUUAGUAACGUAGCUAACGCGUGAAGUUGACCGCCUGGGGAGUACGGUCGCAAGAUUAAAACUCAAAGGAAUUGACGGGGUCAUAGCUGUUUCCU